AGCAGCCGCGGUAAUUCCAGCUCCAAUAGCGUAUAUUAAAGUUGUUGCAGUUAAAAAGCUCGUAGUUGAAUUUCGGGGUCAGUAGGUCGGUCGUGCCACUGGUAUGCACUGGUCUCACUGAUUCCUCCUUCUUGUAGAACCGUAAUGCCAUUAAGUUGGUGUUGCGGGGAAACAGGACUGUUACUUUGAAAAAAUUAGAGUGUUUAAAGCAAGCUAACGCUUGAAUACAUUAGCAUGGAAUAAUGAAAUAGGACGAACGAUCCUAUUUUGUUGGUUUU
rnacentral:rRNA from 1 species